CACGUAGGGUGCGAGCGUUGUCCGGAAUUAUUGGGCGUAAAGAGCUCGUAGGCGGUGUGUCGCGUCGGCCGUGAAAACCUGCAGCUUAACUGUGGGCUUGCGGUCGAUACGGGGCAUCACUGGAGUUCGGCAGGGGAGACUGGAAUUCCUGGUGUAGCGGUGAAAUGCGCAGAUAUCAGGAGGAACACCGGUGGCGAAGGCGGGUCUCUGGGCCGAUACUGACGCUGAGGAGCGAAAGCGUGGGGAGCGAACAGG
rnacentral:rRNA from 1 species